AUGAUGAUGGCACCACUGGACAGCAGGAAGCACUUAGUGUACUACAUUUGGAAUUCUUCAGGUUCCAUUUCUCUUGAACAGCUUCCUGGCCAAAUAGACACUGAGGCUAAUAAUGAGGAGU
rnacentral:lncRNA from 1 species